CACGUAGGGCGCGAGCGUUGUCCGGAAUUAUUGGGCGUAAAGAGCUCGUAGGCGGUCUGUUGCGUCUGCUGUGAAAACUCGGGGCUUAACCCCGAGCCUGCAGUGGAUACGGGCAGACUAGAGGUAGGUAGGGGAGAAUGGAAUUCCCGGUGUAGCGGUGAAAUGCGCAGAUAUCGGGAGGAACACCGGUGGCGAAGGCGGUUCUCUGGGCCUUACCUGACGCUGAGGAGCGAAAGCGUGGGGAGCGAACAGG
rnacentral:rRNA from 1 species